UACAGAGGUGGCAAGCGUUGUUCGGAAUUACUGGGCGUAAAGGGCGCGUAGGCGGUCUUGUAAGUCUUGUGUGAAAUCCCUCGGCUUAACUGAGGAACUGCACGAGAUACUGCGAGACUUGAGUUCGGGAGAGGAAAGCGGAAUUCCGGGUGUAGCGGUGAAAUGCGUAGAUAUCCGGAGGAACACCGGUGGCGAAGGCGGCUUUCUGGACCGACACUGACGCUGAGGCGCGAAAGCGUGGGGAGCGAACAGG
rnacentral:rRNA from 1 species